rnacentral:rRNA from 1 species
GAUGAACGCUGGCGGCGUGCCUAAUACAUGCAAGUCGAGCGAACAGAUAAGGAGCUUGCUCCUUUGACGUUAGCGGCGGACGGGUGAGUAACACGUGGGUAACCUACCUAUAAGACUGGGAUAACUUCGGGAAACCGGAGCUAAUACCGGAUAACAUUUGGAACCGCAUGGUUCUAAAGUGAAAGAUGGUUUUGCUAUCACUUAUAGAUGGACCCGCGCCGUAUUAGCUAGUUGGUAAGGUAACGGCUUACCAAGGCGACGAUACGUAGCCGACCUGAGUGGGUGAUCGGCCACACUGGAACUGAGACACGGUCCAGACUCCUACGGGAGGCAGCAGUAGGGAAUCUUCCGCAAAGGGCGAAAGCCUGACGGAGCAACGCCGCGUGAGUGAUGAAGGGUUUCGGCUCGUAAAACUCUGUUAUUAGGGAAGAACAAAUGUGUAAGUAACUGUGCACGUCUUGACGGUACCUAAUCAGAAAGCCACGGCUAACUACGUG